rnacentral:rRNA from 1 species
UACGAAGGGGGCUAGCGUUGCUCGGAAUCACUGGGCGUAAAGGGUGCGUAGGCGGGUCUUUAAGUCAGGGGUGAAAUCCUGGAGCUCAACUCCAGAACUGCCUUUGAUACUGAAGAUCUUGAGUUCGGGAGAGGUGAGUGGAACUGCGAGUGUAGAGGUGAAAUUCGUAGAUAUUGGGAAGAACACCGGUGGCGAAGGCGGCUCUCUGGACCGAGACUGACGCUGAGGCGCGAAAGCGUGGGGAGCAAACAGG